rnacentral:misc_RNA from 1 species
GAUGAAGAACGUAGCGAAAUGCGAUAAGUAAUGUGAAUUGCAGAAUUCAGUGAAUCAUCGAAUCUUUGAACGCACAUUGCGCCCGCCAGUAUUCUGGCGGGCAUGCCUGUUCGAGCGUCAUUUCAACCAUCAAGCCCCAGGCUUGUGUUGGGGACCUGCGGCUGCCGCAGGCCCUGAAAACCGGUGGCGGGCUCGCUGUCACACCGGGCGUAGUAGAUUUUAUCUCGCUCAGGGCGUGCUGCGGGUUCCGGCCGUUAAAAAGCCUUUUUUACCCAAGGUUGACCUCGGAUCAGGUAGGAAGACCCGCUGAACUUAAGCAUAUCAAUAAGCGGAGGA